GUGCUCACUUCAGCAGCACAUAUACUAAAAAUUCGAACGAUAUAGAAAAGAAUAUCAUGGCUCCUAAGCAAGGAUGACAUCCAUGUUUUAUUAAAAAGAAAAGUUCAG
rnacentral:snRNA from 1 species